rnacentral:rRNA from 1 species
UUUAUAUAAGGUCUAGCCUGCUCCCUGAUUGAUUUUAAGAGCCGCAGUAUUUUGACUGUGCGAAGGUAGCAUAAUAAUUAGUUUCUUUAUUGGGAACUGGAAUGAAUGGUUGGACGAAAUGAUUACUGUCUCUUUUUUAUUUUGAUGAAUUUUACUUUUGAGUUAAAAGGCUCAAAUUUUUUUAAAAGACGAGAAGACCCUAUAGAGUUUUAUUAUUUCUUUAAUUGUUAAAUUGUUAGUAUAGAAAUUUUCAAUUUUAGGUUAAUUUGGUUGGGGUGACUAGAAAAUUUAUUUAACUUUUCUUUUAUUGAAACAUUGAUUUAUGAUUAGAUGAUCCAUCUUGUGAUUAUAA